rnacentral:sRNA from 1 species
AUUAACUUCCGGGUACCUCGAGCGAUAUGGCGUUAUCGAUAUUGUAUUGGGCAAACUAUGUUGAGGGUUUAACAAAGAUUAAAAGGAAAAGUGAAGCUGCAGUUGAGUCUCAGAGGGUUCUCCGUUUCGCGUUUGACGAGUUGCGUGUCAUUACUGCCAAUGUUCAAGCAUCAAUGAGGGACACAUCAUACAAAGUUCAGAUAUUCCUUGAAUCUGAAGAUAACGGUGUGGUGGAGUCAUCAUCAUGCGAGUGUCCUAUGGGGAGGUAUAAGUGUCAUCAUGUGGCAGCAACUCUCCUUUAUGGGCAAGUGUUCUGAUAUAAGAAGGCAAGCAAAACCGACAUAAAAUGCAGUUGGUUAAAACAUCCAAAGUCAGCACAGCCAAAGGUGACAACAACCAUGGAGGAAUUAUUUCCACCAAAACAACCAGGAUACAGCAAUGCACUGGAUUCUGUCAAAAGAACCCACAACUGAAGAUAGUCCUGUUGUCUUGAUACAAGAACUAUUUCAAAGUAAAGAUUUCUUGGAUGCUGAAUGCAAGGAAUCCUUUUUAAGGGAGAAGCUUUCAAUGUCCCCAGAGUAAAUUAUCCAGACUGCAUGGACCACAAUAGGGCAGAGGGAAAAUACCUUGUGGGCCAAAGUUCGCAAGCUGCGUUUCACAGCAUCCAAUUUUGGACAAAUUGUUACAGCUGUUCGAAAAAACAGGUUAAACAUGUCCUUGAAAAAAAGACUACUGAGUGCAUACAACUUGGAAAAAAGAGCACCAAUCCAAUGGGGACUUGCCCAUGAGAAGACUGCAAUACAAGAAUACUGCAAGGUCUUUGAAGUGAAUGUUUUAGAGACAGGAAUUUGGCUUCAUGAGUCUGGGCUACUUGGAGCCUCUCCAGAUGGCUUUGUUCAAGGAAAUCCAAAGAACAUCACUGAACGAGUCCAUCAACAAGAAAAGAACUCAACAUUGCUGUCACCUGACAUUGUUGAGGUGAAAUGUCCAUUUUCCGCCAGAUCAAUGACAAUCAAAGAAGCUUGUUCAAAUGUGAAGGAUUUCUUUCUUGAUUGUAAUCCAAGUGAUAAUUCACUUCACCUCAGAACACAACAUGAUUAUUGGCACCAGAUCCAAGGACAGUUGUACCUGACAGGAACACAGUGCUGUGACUUAGUAGUGUGGACUCAGGCAGACAUUCAAGUUGUUCGUAUCGAGAAAGAUGCAUCAUGGUCAUCAAACAUCUUGAACAUGAUCGAGUUUUAUUAUAAAGUGUUUCUGCCAAGUUUAUGAUUCAUUUUGUCUGUUAUUCUUUGUCUGCAUGUCUGUGGUAUAAUAAAUAAAUAAAAUAAAUGAGAAAAUGGU